UACGUAGGGGGCAAGCGUUGUCCGGAUUCAUUGGGCGUAAAGAGCGUGUAGGCGGCUAGGUAGGUCGGUUGUGAAAACUGGAGGCUCAACCUUCAGAGGUCGACCGAAACCAUCUGGCUAGAGUCCGGGAGAGGAGAGUGGAAUUCCUGGUGUAGCGGUGAAAUGCGCAGAUAUCAGGAAGAACACCCGUGGCGAAAGCGGCUCUCUGGAAAGGUACUGACGCUGAGACGCGAAAGCGUGGGGAGCGAACAGG
rnacentral:rRNA from 1 species